rnacentral:rRNA from 1 species
AUUAUGGCUCAGGAUGAACGCUAGCUACAGGCUUAACACAUGCAAGUCGAGGGGCAGCAUUGGGAUAGCUUGCUAUUCAGUUGGCGACCGGCGCACGGGUGAGUAACGCGUAUCCAACCUUCCUGCCAGUAGGGAACAGCCCGGCGAAAGUCGGAUUAAUGCCCUAUGUUCUUCAAUGCGGACAUCUAAGUUGAAGGAAAGAUUCAUCGCUGGCAGAUGGGGAUGCGUCCGAUUAGCUUGCCGGCGGGGUAACGGCCCACCGGGGCGACGAUCGGUAGGGGUUCUGAGAGGAAGGUCCCCCACACUGGUACUGAGACACGGACCAGACUCCUACGGGAGGCAGCAGUGAGGAAUAUUGGUCAAUGGGCGUAAGCCUGAACCAGCCAAGUAGCGUGCAGGAUGACGGCCCUACGGGUUGUAAACUGCUUUUAUGCGGGGAUAAAGUGCGGCACGUGUGCCGCUUUGCAGGUACCGCAUGAAUAAGGACCGGCUAAUUCCGUGCCAGCAGCUGC